rnacentral:rRNA from 1 species
UACGAGGGGGGCAAGCGUUGUUCGGAAUUACUGGGCGUAAAGCGUGCGUAGGCGGUUCGUUGUGUCUGUGGUGAAAGCCCCGGGCUUAACCUGGGAAUGGCCAUGGAAACUGGCGAGCUGGAGCGUGGCAGAGGGGGGUGGAAUUCCGCGUGUAGCAGUGAAAUGCGUAGAGAUGCGGAGGAACACCGAUGGCGAAGGCAGCCCCCUGGGCUAACACUGACGCUGAGGCACGAAAGCGUGGGGAGCAAACAGG